UACUAGAGUAGCACUCGCAUAUCAAUAAGCGGAGGAAAAGAAACUAACAAGGAUUCCCCUAGUAACGGCGAGUGAAGCGGGAAGAGCUCAAAUUUGAAAUCUUAAAGGGUUUCCCUUUACGAAUUGUAGUUUAAAGAAGUGUUUUCUGCUGAGGUUUUGGUAAAAGUUCUUUGGAAUAGGACAUCAUAGAGGGUGAGAAUCCCGUAUUUGACCCUUACUUUCAACUUUGUGAUACACUUUCAAAGAGUCGGAUUGUUUGGGAAUGCAGUCCAAAAUGGGUGGUAAAUUUCAUCUAAAGCUAAAUAUUGGCGAGAGACCGAUAGCGAACAAGUACCGUGAGGGAAAGAUGAAAAGAACUUUGAAAAGAGAGUUAAACAGUACGUGAAAUUGUCAAAAGGGAAGCGUUUGACACCAGUGUUGUUUUUCUGAAAAUCAAUUAAAGAACUGUUUAUGCUAAGUUGUUUAGACUUUAUCAGCUAUCUGCUUAGUUUUGAGCUUUUCUUUAAUGCACUUUUCAGUUAACAAGUCAACAUCAAUUUCUUUUGCUGUAAAAAAGCUUGAGGAAGGUGGCUUGAGAUUCGUCUUAAGUGUUUAUAGCCUCUUGCCUAUGCAGUCGGAGAGAUUGAGGUCUGCAGCGUAGAUCCUUCGGGGCUAAAUGCAUUUGUGCUAAGUUAUAGCAUUUUAUAGACAACUUGUUGACUAUGAUUUGUCUUGUAGCUUACUCGCUUAUGUUAUUUUACCUACGCUUAGGAUGUUGAACUACUGAGACAUAGA
rnacentral:rRNA from 1 species